rnacentral:rRNA from 1 species
GAUGAACGCUAGCGAUAGGCUUAACACAUGCAAGUCGAGGGGCAGCAUGGUCUUAGCUUGCUAAGACUGAUGGCGACCGGCGCACGGGUGCGUAACGCGUAUGCAACUUGCCUCACAGAGGGGGAUAACCCGUCGAAAGACGGACUAAUACCGCGUACACUCCAUCUUGGGCAUCCAAGGUAGAGGAAAUGAAAUUCGCUGUGAGAUAGGCAUGCGUCCCAUUAGCUAGUUGGUGAGGUAACGGCUCACCAAGGCGACGAUGGGUAGGGGAACUGAGAGGUUGAACCCCCACACUGGUACUGAGACACGGACCAGACUCCUACGGGAGGCAGCAGUGAGGAAUAUUGGUCAAUGGGCGAGAGCCUGAACCAGCCAAGUCGCGUGAAGGAUGACUGUCUUAUGGAUUGUAAACUUCUUUUAGACGGGAAUAACAAGAGUCACGGGUGACUCCCUGCAUGUACCGUAUGAAUAAGCAUCGGCUAACUCCGUG